rnacentral:rRNA from 1 species
AUUGAACGCUGGCGGCAUGCCUUACACAUGCAAGUCGAACGGCAGCGGACCUUCGGGUGCCGGCGAGUGGCGAACGGGUGAGUAAUAUAUCGGAACGUACCUUUCAGUGGGGGGAUAACGUAGCGAAAGUUACGCUAAUACCGCAUAUUCUGUGAGCAGGAAAGCAGGGGGAUCGCAGGACCUUGCGCUGAUUGAGCGGCCGAUAUCAGAUUAGCUAGUUGGUGAGGUAAAGGCUCACCAAGGCGACGAUCUGUAGCGGGUCUGAGAGGAUGAUCCGCCACACUGGAACUGAGACACGGUCCAGACUCCUACGGGAGGCAGCAGUGGGGAAUUUUGGACAAUGGGCGCAAGCCUGAUCCAGCCAUGCCGCGUGAGUGAAGAAGGCCUCGG